AUUUAAGUAGUUUAUGUAAAAAUGUUGGUUUGUGGCACCAAAGAUGUAGAUGUAUUACCUUAGAUC
rnacentral:tRNA from 1 species